UUGGAGGGCAAGUCUGGUGCCAGCAGCCGCGGUAAUUCCAGCUCCAAUAGCGUAUAUUAAAGUUGUUGUGGUUAAAAAAGCUCGUAGUUGAACCUUGGGCCUGGCUGGCCGGUCCGCCUCACCGCGUGUACUGGUCCGGCCGGGCCUUUCCCUCUGUGGAACCCCAUGCCCUUCACUGGGUGUGGCGGGGAAACAGGACUUUUACUGUGAAAAAAUUGAGUGCUCCAGGCAGGCCUAUGCUCGAAUACAUUAGCAUGGAAUAAUAGAAUAGGA
rnacentral:rRNA from 1 species